CUGCCCAAGAUUGCACAGCUAAACAGCUAGGUAGUGGUGAAGCUGGCAUGUGAGUACAGAAAGUCUGUCUCCGGAGACUGUGUUUUCUUAAUUCCUACCUCUCAAAGAGCCCAUUAAAGGAACAAAUCUUCCUUGAAAAUGCUCUGAAACAGUCUUCAUUUUCAUUCUUGUGUAAUUUUAUUUGCAAACUGAGAGCCAACUGGAGCAUGUCAGAAACAGCUGAUGAGUAGAUGAAGUAAUGACUUCUUACAUAACAAGAAUGCUAAGGCUGGGAAAACAGAAAAAUCAAAGGAUUUUAGGACAAUGGUAAUAUGGAGUUGCCACACCUUUCCUGAACUACUACUUACCUCUGAGCACUUUGUUAUGUGAAAAAAUAAAGUGAAACAGCUAUAUCCUUUG